ACCAGUUAACAUCAAAUUAUGGAAUGUAAAAGCAGUUUAUUGAAUUCUUGGGAGCUCUUCAUUAAGUUUACUAAUAUCACAGGAUGAGGUGUUUUGUUCCCUAUACUAUGGAGGAAUGAAGUAUCCACACUUUGGUCUUCCUUCUCCUUGAGUUUCAUGUGUUUUGCAAAUUGUAUCUUCUGGACUUCUGGGCUAAGAUCCACUUAUCAGUG
rnacentral:lncRNA from 1 species